rnacentral:rRNA from 1 species
UCUUAGCAAUAAGGGAGCGGCGCACGGGUGAGUAACACGUGGGAAUAUGCCUUUUGGUACGGAACAACUUUUGGAAACGAAAGCUAAUACCGUAUGGUCCCUUCGGGGUAAAGAUUUAUCGCCAAAAGAGUAGCCCGCGUUGGAUUAGCUAGUUGGUAGGGUAAUGGCCUACCAAGGCGACGAUCCAUAGCUGGUCUGAGAGGACGAUCAGCCACACUGGGACUGAGACACGGCCCAGACUCCUACGGGAGGCAGCAGUUAGGAAUAUUGGACAAUGGGCGCAAGCCUGAUCCAGCCAUGCCGCGUGAGUGAUGAAGGCCUUCGGGUUGUAAAGCUCUUUAGUCCACGAAUAUAAUGACUGUAGUGGAAGAAUAAGCCCCGGCUAACUUCGUGCCAGCAGCCGCGGUAAUACGAAGGGGGCGAGCGUUGUUCGGAAUCACUGGGCGUAAAGAGUGCGUAGGCGGUUAUGAAAGUUAGGAGUGAAAGCCCCAGGCUCAACUUGGGAAUUGCUCUUAAAACUACAUGACUCGAAUUCGGGAGAGGAUAGCGGAAUUCUCAGUGUAGCAGUGAAAUGCGUAGAUAUUGAGAGGAACACCAGUGGCGUAAGCGGCUAUCUGGACCGACAUUGACGCUGAGGCACGAAAGCGUGGGGAUCAAACAGGAUUAGAUACCCUGGUAGUCCACGCCGUAAACGAUGUGUGUUUGUCGCUGGGGAGUUUACUCUUCGGUGACGGAGCUAACGCGUUAAGCACACCGCCUGGGAAGUACGGUCGCAAGAUUAAAACUCAAAGGAAUUGACGGGGACCCGCACAAGCGGUGGAGUAUGUGG